CGGGCCCUGUCCUCAACAGGUGUUUUAUGAUCUCUCACUUGGUGCCAAGCUCCAUACUGGACUCAGACGUCAGAGUGGUGAACAAAAUCGGUCAAGGAAGUCUUUUCUCAUUCCAUUAGUUGUUCAGGGACCAAAUGUUUUCUGAGACUCGUAGGCAGAGAGCAGAUCAGUCUAGUAACCAGGUGACCAACUAUUCCAGUUUGCCCAGGACUGAGUGGUUCCCCAGGAGGACUUUCAUGGCUGAAACUGAGAGAGUCCAGAACAAGGAAGGGCUAGUUAUAACUAGUUAAUUAAGCUUACUUGGACUUCUGAUUCUCUGAAAGAGAACUAGUAACAAAGAUUCUUUGCGUACCCAAACUUUAGGCAGACUGUAAAUACCCAUCGGUGCUCUUCCAUGUAAAAUCCAGUUUCAGCAAGAAUCUUGAUAAGUCAUUUUAACAAGAAUCCCCCACCUUUGACACCUGAUUAAAAUUUUUCACUGCGCAGUUUUGCUGUCUGAUCACCUUGGCCUGCCUUCAGCAGGAAUCCUGUCAGGUCUGUUCAGUCAGUAUUCUCCCCAGACUUGGUGCCAUUUUCUAUUAGUGUUUUUCCAUCUUCUGACUCCUGCUCCUUGGCUAUAUAAAUCCCUUCUCCCUGCUGUAUUCAGAAUGGAGCCCAUUUCUAUAGUGGGGUCUCUUUUCCCCUGUUGCAAUGAUCCUGGAUAACAUUUGCCUUCACCACUUUAACUUCGUUCUGGCUUUUGGGUCAGGUUUCUGGGGGGAAGGGGAACUAAUGGACAUAAGCUAACCAUGAAAUUAUGCCACACUAUUAGGUUGGUGCAAAAGUAAUUGCGGUUUUUGCAAUCAAAAGUAAUGGCAAAAGCCACAAUUACUUUUGCACCAACCUAAUAGAUUGGCACAAUUUCAUGGUUAGCUCACAUCCAUUAGCUCCCCCUCUGAGCACCUGGGCUGACUCAACUUGCUUGAAGAGAAGAACUUCCAGGCUGUUGGAUUGUCCAGUUCUGGGCCCAACAGUCAGUCAUGAGAGGAGACUGGCUUCAUACCUGACUCCUGGCAGGUCUGCACAGCCACAGUUGUUCUGAGUUCCAGGGCCCACACUCAGCGCUGUUGCAUGGCAGAUGGGCUCUUAGGCAGAGGGUCAUUUACCAAGCUCAGUCUGACCCUUGUGAGAUAUAAAACUGGUUGCAGAGACUGCAGUGUUGGCUGGGACAGGCGUGGGAGCCACAGACUGCUCAGCUUGUAAUCCUGCUCCACUCCUUUGCAGCCUUAAUCAUGGGCAAGUUCCAUAGCUUUCUUAAGUCUGAAAGAUGAGAAUAGCAAUAGCAUGGUAGUCACGCCUAUUAAUAGGGUACAGCGCAGUGUCUAACACCCAGCAAGGGAAUCAUGCUAGCAUAUGAAAACAUUCCUGGCAUUUGGAAGGUGGUUGUGGUAUGAAAGAAAAGAACCAAGGAUGAUGUAGGUGGAGAAAAGACAAAAUUCUGUCUUUUAUGAGGCAUCAUCCUGAGCAAAAGCAGGGCCUUGGGUAUGGCCGAGAACCCUUCGCCCCUCUUCCCACCAAGAGUCAGAGGCUAUGUUGCCUCCACGUUGCCUCAGGGCUUGACCGUGGGGCUUGCUCGGGUUUCUAGGACACUGUGAAGUGGGGCACAAAUGGCAGCUUGGCAGAUGCAUGCCUGGAGGUCGCCUUGUGGCAGCCAAGGCAAAACCCAGGGUUAAAUAACCAGGAGAGAGACUGAGCAGUCCGUGGAUGGGGCCCCCAGCCCACUGAAGUUGACUGAAGAGGCCCAUAUGCGCUCACAUGAGGCCAGCUGAACUAUCCAGAAACCCAUGCAAUUGUCAGAAAUUACACAUUGUUCUUAGCCCCUCAGUUUUGAUGUGGUUUGUUUCAUUUUUACUCCGGCCCAGACAUUUUAAUUUUUGUGUUUUUUAUUUUAUUUUAUUUACUUGCUUUUAGAGGUAGGAUCUCACUGUGUUGCCCAGGUGGGUCUCAAACUCCUGACCUCAAGUGAUCCUCUUGCCUCAGCCUCCCAAAGUUCUGGGCUUACCCAUUUGACCCACCGUGUUGGUUUGUGCCAGGCAUUUUAAUCCUCACAAAAGUCCUGGGAAGGUAGGUGUUCUUAGCCCUGCUCUACAGAUCAGGAUUGUUCUCAGAAGCAGCAGCACCCACUCUCAGGGGUUGCACCUGGUCAGUGGCUCCCCCUGCCAGGGCUUUCUGAGUCCAAAUUAAGGUUUCAUAUUGACUCCCACUCUACAGAACUUAAGAUGUUUUUACUUAAAGAAUCUCCUGUAGGUCAAACCUGUUCUUAUCCUGGUGAGUGUAAUCUUUUUUUUUCCCUUUUCUGAAAAUACCAAAGCAAUUUAAAGAUAGUUUUCUCAGUAGUCAUCCUAGGUACGAUAAGGAGAAGUGAGUAUUACUCCACAAAAGUCAAUAGGAUGUUUUUUAAAAAAUCACUGCUAAAUGAACGUAGGGUGUCUUCACAAGGAUCCCCAAAGGAGCACUGGCAUGGGAUGUGGACAGAGUCUGCCCAUCAAGGUGGCCACUCCAGGGUGCCCAUUUUAUCAUAGCAUGGGGCCCGCAGACUUCUCUGUCAAAGGGCCAGAUGGUAAAUAUUUUAGGUUUUGCUAGUCAUGUGGUCUCUGUCACAGUUUCUCAACUCAUGCUGUUUUAUUUGUUUUCUACUGGGUGCCCUCUCAGUCACUUUCUUUUUUCAACAAAGUACCACUUAGGAAAGUGUUAUAGUCUGAAACCACUUCAAUCACUUCUGGCUUUGUAUGCUUAUAGAGGUAAGCUGAUGAAAACCAAGACUUUCUGUUACCCCAUAGGCAGGCUUAAGAACUUUCCAAUCAUAUUUCAUAAACUCUAAAGUAAAUGUACUUCUAUGGGACGGAUAAAAUAAACGAUGGUCCUAAUAUUUUGUGGCUUAGGGUCAUGGAUUAAAAAGGCUGCAUCUCAAGCAAGUCGCAGGCACACCAUGUUUUAGCGCACGUCACUUUACUGUGCUGUGCAGAUGCUGUGUUUUUGACAAAUCUGAGGUUUGUGGCAACCUUGUGUCAACCAAGUCUAUUGGCACCAAUUUUCCGAUUUUUUUUAGCAAUGACGUAUUUUUUAAAUUAAAGUAUGUACAUUUUUGUUGCUGUUUUCUAUUUAUUUUCACUUCUCUUUUAACAUUAUUUUUUAUUUAAAAAGUUCUGUGGAUACAUAGUAGGUGUAUAUAUUUACGGGGUCCAUGAGAUACUUUGAUACAGGCAUGCAAAGAGUAAUAAUCUUAUCAGGGUAAAUGGGGUAUCCAUCCCCUCAAGCAUUUAUCCUUUGUGUUAUAAACAAUCCAAUUAUACUUUUAGUUAUUUAAAAAUGUACAAUUAAAUUAUUUUUGACUGUAGUCACCCUGUUGUGCUAUCAAAUACUAAGUCUUAUUCAUUGUUUCUAUUUCUUUGUACCCACUAACUAUCCCUACCUCCCAGCUACUACCCUUCCCAGCUUCUGGUAACCAUCCUUCUACUCUCUGUGUCCAUGCAUUUAAUUGUUUUAAUUUUUUUCUUUCUUUCUUUCUUUCUUGCUUGCUUUUCUUUUCUUUUUCUUUUUCUUUUUUUUUUUUUUUUUUUUUUUUUGCGACAGAGUCUUGCUCUGUUGCCCAGGCUGGAGUGCAGUGGUACGAUCUCGGCUCACUGCAACCUCCGCCUCCUAGGUUCAAGCGACUCUCUUGCCUCAGCCUCUUGAGUAACUGGGAUUACAGGCGCCCACCACCACGCCCAACUAAUUUUUGUAUUUUUAGUAGAG
rnacentral:lncRNA from 10 species